AGGAAUUGGCGGGGGAGCACCACAACAGGUGGAGCCUGCGGUUUAAUCGGACUCAACGCCGGAAAUCUCACCGGAUAAGACAGCUGUAUGAUAGUCGGGCUGAAGACUCUACUUGACUAGCUGAGAGGAGGUGCAUGGCCGUCGUCAGUUCGUACUGUGAAGCAUCCUGUUAAGUCAGGCAACGAGCGAGACCCACGCCAACAGUUGCCAGCUCGUCCUCCGGGAUGGUGGGGACACUGUUGGGACCGCCUCUGCUAAAGAGGAGGAAGGAAUGGGCAACGGUAGGUCAGCAUGCCCCGAAUUAUCCGGGCUACACGCGGGCUACAAUGGGUGGGACAAUGAGUAUCGACACCGAAAGGUGAAGGCAAUCUCCUAAACCCAUCCUUAGUUCGGAUUGUGGGCUGCAACUCGCCCACAUGAAGCUGGAAUCUGUAGUAAUCGUGUCUCAACAUGGCACGGUGAAUAUGUCCCUGCUCCUUGCACACACCGCCUGUCAAACCACCCGAGUGAGGUCUUGAUGAGGCCGUCGUUUUUGCGGCGGUCGAAUCUAGGUUUUGCAAGGGGGGUUAAGUCGUAACAAGGUAACCUCAGUCAGUCAA
rnacentral:rRNA from 1 species